rnacentral:rRNA from 1 species
UAGGGAAUCUUCGGCAAUGGGGGGAACCCUGACCGAGCAACGCCGCGUGAGUGAAGAAGGUUUUCGGAUCGUAAAGCUCUGUUGUUAAGGAAGAACGAGUGUGAGAAUGGAAAGUUCAUACUGUGACGGUACUUAACCAGAAAGGGACGGCUAACUACGUGCCAGCAGCCGCGGUAAUACGUAGGUCCCGAGCGUUGUCCGGAUUUAUUGGGCGUAAAGCGAGCGCAGGCGGUUAGAAAAGUCUGAAGUGAAAGGCAGUGGCUCAACCAUUGUAGGCUUUGGAAACUGUUUAACUUGAGUGCAGAAGGGGAGAGUGGAAUUCCAUGUGUAGCGGUGAAAUGCGUAGAUAUAUGGAGGAACACCAGUGGCGAAGGCGACUCUCUGGUCUGUAACUGACGCUGAGGCUCGAAAGCGUGGGUAGCAAACAGG